rnacentral:rRNA from 1 species
UACGUAGGGUGCAAGCGUUGAUCGGAAUUACUGGGCGUAAAGCGUGCGCAGGCGGUUUUGUAAGUCUGUCGUGAAAUCCCCGGGCUCAACCUGGGAAUUGCGAUGGAGACUGCAAGGCUAGAAUCUGGCAGAGGGGGGUAGAAUUCCACGUGUAGCAGUGAAAUGCGUAGAGAUGUGGAGGAACACCGAUGGCGAAGGCAGCCCCCCUGGGUCAAGAUUGACGCUCAUGCACGAAAGCGUGGGGAGCAAACAGG